rnacentral:rRNA from 1 species
AGAUUGAACGCUGGCGGCAUGCUUUACACAUGCAAGUCGAACGGUAACAGGCCGCAAGGUGCUGACGAGUGGCGAACGGGUGAGUAAUGCAUCGGAACGUGCCCAGUCGUGGGGGAUAACGCAGCGAAAGCUGUGCUAAUACCGCAUACGAUCUAUGGAUGAAAGCGGGGGACCGAAAGGCCUCGCGCGAUUGGAGCGGCCGAUGUCAGAUUAGCUAGGUUGGUGGGGUAAACGGCCCACCAAGGCGACGAUCUGUAGCUGGUCUGGAGAGGACGACAGCCACACUGGAACUGACGACACGGUCCAGACGUCCUACGGGAGCAGCAGGUGGGAAUUUGGACUAGUGGGCGCGAAGCCUGACU